AUUUCAAAUGACGUUAUACAGAAUGAAGUGUACUAAAAGGCUCACAGCAUUUGGUUCCCGCUGUUAAAAAGGAGUAAGUAUGUAUGAUGUGCUGCUCCAUAGGGUGUAGCAAGUAGAAAAGCAGAAAAGAAUUGUCAAAUGCUUUGCUUUCGUGCACAGUACGUACCAUGGAAUGCACGAGCUCGUGAGGUUUUUGGCCACAGUCCUACUUGACAUAUAUGUUCUGCUCCCUUCUUUACAGAAUGAUACUAUGGUGCUGCUGCAGAGCAAAAAUACAGAGGUAUGAUACUGUUGAGCCUUGCACAUACCAGCCUCAUCACACUACAAAAUGAGAGGAGAUCUCARUGACAGGAUGGUAUGAAGUCUUCCCAAGAACAUAGACUGCAGGACAGCUGGGUGGACCAGUCACUUGACAUAACCAACAKAGGGGUACCGUGGCUAAGAUCUUUUAAUUGAGCGCAGGUUGCAGCUCAGGUCUGGUUGAGCAGAGAACAUCCUGCCACAAUCUUGUGUGUGCUGGCUAGUGCUGGGGGUUCUCACAAGCCCUGCUGUGAAAACYGAGCUAAAAAGACCUUUGCCCCAAACAGCUUCCCAAGAAAUUGCCACAUGUAGCUUGUUGAUAUGCUUGUUCAACAGGCUGAAUCAGUUGUGCUCAGCACAAGAUAUUGCUUGCUCUGCAGUUUUUUUUUUUGUUUUUUUUUUUGUUUUUUUAAUCUUCCCCUAUUAAUCCAGAGUUGUCCAUUGACUCAGCCCCAGUUUGAAUGAGCAUAAGUCCUAUGACAUGCUCGUGGAGAGCUUUCUGCAACCCUUCCUCAGCAAACUUUUAGUCCCCAAUUUAUACCCUCACCUUCCUCUUAACUUUUUUUUUUCCCCCCUCUCUCUUCUUGCUCCAUUUGUAGGGUGACAGGCAAUUUUGGAGGCUCAGAUGGUUUAAAUGCUAGGUUGGAGGGAGUGCCUGUCGUUGUGGUGGGUUUUUUUAUUUUAUUUAUUUUUUCCUCUCUUUAAA
rnacentral:lncRNA from 1 species